GCCGCGAUGGUGGAACUGGUAGACACGCAUGCCUUAGGAGCAUGUGGGGAAACCCGUAAGAGUUCGAGUCUCUUUCGCGGCA
rnacentral:tRNA from 1 species